rnacentral:rRNA from 1 species
GACAGAGGGUGCAAACGUUGUUCGGAAUUACUGGGCGUAAAGCGUGUGUAGGCGGCCAUGUAAGUCGGAUGUGAAAGCCCCGGGCUUAACCCGGGAAGUGCAUUCGAUACUGCGUGGCUUGAGUAUCGGAGAGGUUGGUGGAAUUCUCGGUGUAGAGGUGAAAUUCGUAGAUAUCGAGAGGAACACCGGUGGCGAAGGCGGCCAGCUGGACGAAUACUGACGCUGAGACACGAAAGCGUGGGGAGCAAACAGG